rnacentral:rRNA from 1 species
UUGAUCCUGGCUCAGGAUGAACGCUAGCGGCGUGCCUAACACAUGCAAGUCGAACGUGAAGCCUUGGGUUUACUCGAGGUGGAAAGUGGCGCACGGGUGAGUAACACGUAGGUGACCUGCCCCGGCAGAGGGGGACAACCACUGGAAACGGUGGCUAAUACCCCGUACCUUCAGAAGGACUAGAAGCUUCUGAACAAAGCUCCGGCGCUCUGAGAGGGGCCUGCGGCCCAUCAGCUUGUUGGUAGGGUAACGGCCUACCAAGGCAAUGACGGGUAGGGGACCUGAGAGGGUGACCCCCCACACUGGUACUGAGACACGGACCAGACUCCUACGGGAGGCAGCAGCAAGGAAUAUUGCGCAAUGAGCGAAAGCUAGACGCAGCAACGCCGCGUGGAUGAUGAAGGCCUUCGGGUCGUAAAAUCCUUUUCUGGGGAAAUAGAAAGGAAGGUACCCCAGGAAUAAGAGUCGGCUAACUACGUGCCAGCAGCCGCGGUAAAACGUAGGAGGCAAACGUUAUCCGGAUUUAUUGGGCGUAAAGCGCAUGCAGGCGGUUUUUUAAGUCGGACGUGAAAGCUCUCGGCUCAACUGGGAGAGGCCGUUCGAAACUAGGUGUCUUGAGGGUGGUAGAGGAGAGUGGAAUUCCCGGUGUAGUGGUGAAAUGCGUAGAUAUCGGGAGGAACACCAGUGGCGAAGGCGGCUCUCUGGGCCAGCCCUGACGCUCAGAUGCGAAAGCUAGGGGAGAGAACGGGAUUAGAAACCCCGGUAUUCCUAGCCGUAAACGAUGUCAACUAGGUGUAGGGGUAUCCAACCCCCUUGUGCUGCAGCUAACGCAUUAAGUUGACCGCCUGGGGACUACGGCCGCAAGGCUAAAACUCAAAGGAAUUGACGGGGACCCGCACAAGCAGCGGAGCGUGUGGUUUAAUUCGAGGCUACGCGAAGAACCUUACCAGGGUUUGACAUAUAGCUGGUAGCGACUCGAAAGAGAAGCGACCCUUCGGGGAGGCUAUACAGGUGCUGCAUGGCUGUCGUCAGCUCGUGCCGUGAGGUGUUCGGUUAAGUCCGAUAACGAGCGCAACCCUCAUCGUUAGUUACAAGUGUCUAGCGAGACUGCCGGUGAUAAACCGGAGGAAGGUGGGGAUGACGUCAAGUCAGCAUGGCCUUUAUGUCCUGGGCUACACACACGCUACAAUGGCCGGUACAAUGGGUAGCCAAGCCGCGAGGUGGAGCCAAUCCUACAAAGCCGGUCUCAGUUCGGAUUGCAGGCUGCAACUCGCCUGCAUGAAGUCGGAGUUGCUAGUAAACGCACGUCAGCACAGUGCGUUGAAUACGUUCCCGGGGCUUGUACACACCGCCCCCGUCACGUCAUGGGAGCUGGUCACGCCUGAAGUCGGUGAGCCAACC